UACGUAGGGACCGAGCGUUGUCCGGAAUCAUUGGGCGUAAAGAGCGUGUAGGCGGCCACUUAAGUCCUGCGUGAAAUCUUGCGGCUCAACCGCAAGCGGUCGUGGGAAACUGGGUGGCUAGAGUGCGGGAGAGGAGAGUGGAAUUCCCAGUGUAGAGGUGAAAUUCGUAGAUAUUGGGAAGAACACCAGUGGCGAAGGCGGCUAUCUGGACCGUAACUGACGCUGAGGCGCGAAAGCGUGGGGAGCAAACAGGG
rnacentral:rRNA from 1 species